rnacentral:antisense_RNA from 1 species
GCAUGACCGAGGGGAGGCACGCGCUGACCCAGGAGACAGACGGCCAGACACAGCCCGUACUGCACGGCCAGACCCGUUGUCACCCCUGGGACUCCCAAACAGAGGAGACGGCAAGACCCAACCAUGCUCCAAGGGGCUGCGGGCAGCAGAAGGCCUGGGCAAGGAGUGCAUCUCAUCAGGGGGGAUUCCCGCUCCUCCCCCAACCUUCGCGGCUGUGCCUGAGCCCCUCCUCCUCCUGCAGGAAGCCUUCCCUGAGCACAGACCCCCAGCAGCCGCUCAGACCUGAGGUCUGCAGGGGACCACUCUCCUGGACCCGCAGAUGCAUCUCCAGGUUUUGCACAGGCCCAGCUGGCUGCCCAGCAGAGCCACAGAUGGCCACUCUCCCCCACCUAGACACCUUGGGAUAAAAAUAAAGGAACGCCUCUCAGCUCGGGCCCUGCAAGAGCCACCUGCA